UACGUAGGGGGCAAGCGUUGUCCGGAAUUAUUGGGCGUAAAGAGCGUGUAGGCGGUCCGGUAAGUCGGCUGUGAAAGUCCAGGGCUCAACCCUGGGAUGCCGGUCGAUACUGCCGGACUAGAGUUCGGAAGAGGCGAGUGGAAUUCCCGGUGUAGCGGUGAAAUGCGCAGAUAUGACAUAGAACACCAAUUGCGAAGGCAGCUCACUACGGGAUUAUUGACACUGAGGCACGAAAGCGUGGGGAUCAAACAGG
rnacentral:rRNA from 1 species